GUAGGGUCAGCUAAUU
rnacentral:tRNA from 2 species